rnacentral:rRNA from 1 species
GGGUAACCUAACCUAUGCAGGGGAAUAACCUCGGGAAACUGAGUAUAAUGCCCCAUAGUCCACUACGCCUGGAACGGUGAGUGGAUCAAAGCUCAGGCGGCAUAGGAUGGGCCUGCGGCGUAUCAGGUCGUAGGGGGUGUAAAGUACCCUCUAGCCAUCUACGCGUACGGGUGUUGGGAGACAUAGCCCGGAGAUGGAUUCUGAGACACGAAUCCAGACCCUACGGGGUGCAGCAGGCGCGAAAACUUGACAAUGCGAGCAAUCGUGAUCAGGGAACUCCAAGUGGCUGGGGUAAGACCCAGUCUUUUCAUAACUCUUCAAAGGUUGUAGAAUAAGGGGUGGGUAAGGACGGUGCCAGCCGCCGCGGUAAUACCGGCGCCUCAAGUGGUAGUCGCUUUUAUUGGGCCUAAGACGUCCGUAGCCGGUUUGGUACAUUCGUGGGUAAAUCAACUCGCUCAACGAGUUGAAUUCUGCGAGGACGGCCAGACUUGGGACCGGGAGAGGUGUGGGGUACUCUCAGGGUAGGGGUAAAAUCCUGUCAUCCUGAGAGGACCACCUGUUGCGAAGGCGCCACACUAGAACGGAUCCGACGGUCAGGGACGAAGCCUAGGGGCACGAACCGGAUUAGAUACCCGGGUAGUCCUAGGUGUAAACGCUGUGGACUUGAUGUUGGAGAAGCUCCGAGCUUCUUCAGUGUCGAAGCGAAGGUGAUAAGUCCACUGCCUGGGAAGUACGGUCGCAAGGCUGAAACUU